rnacentral:rRNA from 1 species
UACGGGGGGGGGCAAGCGUUGUUCGGAAUUACUGGGCGUAAAGGGCUCGUAGGCGGCCAACUAAGUCAGACGUGAAAUCCCUCGGCUUAACCGGGGAACUGCGUCUGAUACUGGAUGGCUAGAGGUUGGGAGAGGGAUGCGGAAUUCCAGGUGUAGCGGUGAAAUGCGUAGAGAUGCGGAGGAACACCGAUGGCGAAGGCAGCCCCCUGGGCUAGCACUGACGCUCAGGCACGAAAGCGUGGGGAGCAAACAGG